UCCCUCUCAGGGUCACACCUGGAGAGUUUCCAGUACUCCACCAGUCUUGACUAUGGGAGGAAGAGUCAAGCAGAGGCACAGCCAUUUCAUUCCUAGCUCGGGCAGUGGUUAGCGAGUGGAAGACAAUUUGCUACAAGU